rnacentral:rRNA from 1 species
AUUGAACGCUGGCGGCAUGCUUUACACAUGCAAGUCGAACGGCAGCGCGGGCUUCGGCCUGGCGGCGAGUGGCGAACGGGUGAGUAAUGCAUCUGAACGUGCCCAGUAGUUGGGGAUAGCCCGGCGAAAGCCGGAUUAAUACCGCAUACGACCUGAGGGUGAAAGCGGGGGACCGAAAGGCCUCGCGCUAUUGGAGCGGCCGAUGUCGGAUUAGCUAGUUGGUGGGGUAAAGGCUUACCAAGGCGACGAUCCGUAGCUGGUCUGAGAGGACGACCAGCCACACUGGGACUGAGACACGGCCCAGACUCCUACGGGAGGCAGCAGUGGGGAAUUUUGGACAAUGGGGGCAACCCUGAUCCAGCCAUGCCGCGUGCGGGAAGAAGGCCUUCGGGUUGUAAACCGCUUUUGUUCGGGAAGAAAUCCUCUGGGCUAAUACCCCGGGGGGAUGACGGUACCGGAAGAAUAAGCACCGGCUAACUACGUG